AGUGGCGGACGGGUGAGUAACGCGUGAGUACCUGCCUUUCGAGGGGGAUACGUUCCUGAAAACAACGCUAAUACCGCAUAAUAUAUUGGUGUCACAUGGCACCGGUAUCAAAGGAGCAAUCUGCUGAAAGAUGGACUCGCGUCCGAUUAGCCAGUGGAUAGGUAAAGGCCCACCAAAGCGACGAUCGGUAGCCGGGUUGAGAGACUGAACGGCCACAUUGGGACUGAGACACGGCCCAGACUCCUACGGGAGGCAGCAGUGGGGGAUAUUGCACAAUGGAGGAAACUCUGAUGCAGCAACGCCGCGUGAGGGAAGACGGUCUUCGGAUUGUAAACCUCUGUCCUUAGUGAAGAUAAUGACGGUAGCCAAGGAGGAAGCUCCGGCUAACUACGUGCCAGCAGCCGCGGUAAUACGUAGGGAGCGAGCGUUGUCCGGAUUUACUGGGUGUAAAGGGUGCGUAGGCGGCUCUUUAAGUCGGGCGUGAAAGCUGUGGGCUUAACCCACAAAUUGCGUUCGAAACUGGAGGGCUUGAGUGAAGUAGAGGUAGGUGGAAUUCCCGGUGUAGCGGUGAAAUGCGUAGAGAUCGGGAGGAACACCAGUGGCGAAGGCGGCCUACUGGGCUUUAACUGACGCUGAAGCACGAAAGCAUGGGUAGCAAACAGGAUUAGAUACCCUGGUAGUCCAUGCUGUAAACGAUGAUUACUAGGUGUGGGGGGUCUGACCCCUUCCGUGCCGGAGUUAACACAAUAAGUAAUCCACCUGGGGAGUACGACCGCAAGGUUGAAACUCAAAGGAAUUGACGGGGGCCCGCACAGCGUGGAGUAUGUGGUUUAAUUCGAAGAACGCGAAGAACCUUACCAGGUCUUGACAUCCAACUAACGAAGCAGAGAUGCAUUAGGUGCUCGGGGAAAGUUGAGACAGGUGGUCCAUGGUUGUCGUCAGCUCGUGUCGUGAGAUGUUGGGUUAAGUCCCGCAACGAGCGCAACCCUUGUGAUUAGUUGUACGCAAGAGCACUCUAAUCAGACUGCCGUUGACAAAACGGAGGAAGGUGGGGACGACGUCAAAUCAUCAUGCCCCUUAUGACCUGGGCUACACACGUACUACAAUGGUCGCCAACGAGGGAAGCCAAGCCGCGAGGUGGAGCAACCCCCAAAAGCGGUCUCAGUUCGGAUUGCAGGCUGCAACCCGCCUACAUGAAGUUGGAAUUGCUAGUAAUCGCGGAUCAGCAUGCCGCGGUGAAUACGUUGGGCUUGUACACACCGCCCGUCACACCAUGGGAGCCGGUAAUACCCGAAGCCAAUAGUCUAACCGCAAGGAGGACGUUGUCGAAGGUAGGAUUGGCGACGGGGAAGUCGUAACAAGGUAACC
rnacentral:rRNA from 1 species